ensembl:misc_RNA Metazoa_SRP Metazoan signal recognition particle RNA
GCCAGGUGUGGUGGUGCACACCUGUAAUUCCAGCUACUCGGGAGGCUGAGGCAGGAGAAUUGCUUGAACCCAGGAGGCGGAGGUUGCAGUGAGCUGAGAUCAUGCCACUGCACUCCAGCCUGGGUGACAGAGUGAGACUCUGCCUCAA